ensembl:miRNA Mir6978 microRNA 6978
AAAGGAAGGGGUGAGAGAGAAGCUGGUGCCAUCCACGGCUUCACUCUCACCCUGCAG